UGUCGCGGCGGGUGGCGCGCGCCGGCCGGGACCUGCCGUCGGGCCGUGCGGGGAGGGGACCCGGACGCAUCGGUGGGGCGCGGUAGGGACCCAGCCUGGGCGGGUGCCCAUGGCCGGAUCCGCGAUGGCCGAGCCUUGCCGUGGGCCGUCCGCGCCCGUGGCGGGCACGGAGGGGCUGCCGCGCGCGUUCCUGCAGAGCCUACGCACGCUCUUCGACAUCCUGGACGACCGGCGUCGCGGCUGCGUGCACCUGCGCGAGAUCGAGUCCCGCUGGCGGGGCGCCGACACCCGCGAGCUGCCUCGCGGCGUGCUCGAGGGCCUGCGCCAGGUGGCCCCGGCCAGCGGCUACCUGACUUUCGAGCGCUUCGUGGCCGGCUUGCGCACCUCGCUGCUGAGCGCCGACUGCAGCCCGCGGGGCCCGGCGCGUGCCCCGGCCCGGGGAGGCUGCCCAGCGCGGCCAGGGGCCCAGCCGCUCCCGCCGCCGCCGCAGCGCCUGCUGUUCGCUCCGGCAGACGAGCCGCGGACGGUCCUGGAGAGGAAGCCCCUGCCCCUGGGCGCGCGCCCCCCAGCGUCCGGCCCCGGCGGCGCGGCCCGGGGUCUGGAGAAGCUGUGUGUCCUGGCCGGGGCGGCAACCGGCCCAGUGGAGCCCGAGCAGCCCCAGGGCGCAGCGCUGGAGCGGAGCCUGAGUGCAGACGCUGGUGCAGUGGCCUGCAGAGCCUGGGAGCUGGGUGUGGGGGAUGCCCAGCGGGCCCCCCGUGCCCGAGGGGAGCGUCGGAGACACACCAUCACCAAUGGUGUGGACUGUGACCUUCUGAAGCAGGUGAAGGAGCUGGAGCAGGAGCAGGAAGUGCUGCAGCAGGGCCUGGAGAUGAUGGCGCGGGGCCGGGACUGGUACGAGCAGCAGCUGCAGCGGGUGCAGGAGCGCCAGCGCCGCCUGGGCCAGAGCAGGGCCAGUGCUGACUUUGGGGCUGAGGGGAGCUCCCGCCCUCUGGGGCGGCUGCUGCCCAAGGUACAGGAGGUGGCCCGGUGCCUGGGGGAGCUGCUGGCGGCGGCCUGUGCUGGCAGGGCUCUGCCCUCAUCUUCCUUGGGGCCCCCCGCCUCACCCCCAGCCCCAGACUGGCAGCAGCAAUCCAUCCUCAAGCUGAAAGAGCAGAACAGGCUGCUCGCCCAGGAGGUGGCCGCCAGGAGCGAUCGGAUCGCACAGCUGGAGCAGGAGAAAUCCUCCCUCAUCAGGCAGCUGUUUGAGGCGCGUGCCCUCAGCCAGCAGGACGCAGGGCCGCUGGACUCCACGUUCAUCUAGCCGGCCACUACACGGACACGGGGACCUCAGGGCCGAGGGCCGGCCUGGACAGAGCCCUCCCUCUUCUCGCCCAGGGUGGGCUUCCCCGGUGGACCCAGCUGAUGGGCAGUGCCCCAGGAUGCCCUGUGGCCCCCGACAGACUUGGUCCCGGCCAGGGGUGCUGACUGAGGCAGGACUGGAUAUGCUACUGUCUGUGGGCAGUGGGGCCCCUCUUCUGUUUACCUGCUGUCAGGCAGCUCCACCCCCAUGUUUUCCACUGGCCUGGCUCCCCUCUGACCCGGGGUCUCCAGUAAAAAGGUACUGGUCACUCAGCUGCGCUUCUGACUGUGGCCAGAAGAGGGAGCUGCAUGCCAGUCACUGGGGCCCUGGAGUCCCAACCCUGGGUAUCAAUCCCCGCCUGGAGUAGGGGUCUCUGGGGGGCUGGGAGGCCCAACAGGUGAUUGGGCUCUUCCUCAGCCAGAAGGAGCAGAUAGAAGGGUUAGAGGGUAUUCCCUAACACAGGAACUUGGGGAAGAGUGGUCAGAGUUAGUGCCUGGGCCAAGGCUGGCCUGCUUGACCCUCCCCAACAGACCCCAGGCCCUAAACCAACUUGAAUUAGCUGUCUGCCCGAUGGAGCCCCACAGAGCAGCUUGUGAUCCAGGCUCAGGGUCUGCCAGGCACUGGCUGGGGCAGGCUGUGGUUACCAGGAUGGCUGUGGGUGCCCCUCCUAGUGGAGGGCCCCGUGCCCCCGAUUGACGGUAUGGGUCCCCCAGACUUGCCCCAAGGGCCAGGCACCCCCACCAGGACCCACUCCACAGAACUCAACGUUCCCCAGGUUUGAGAACUUGUCACACCCUCUAUCCCCCAUCCCCGGCUGGCCCCAGGUCUGAGCCACUAGGGACCAUUUCUGCUCAGCCACUAGAACAGGGAACCACAGGAUUCAGCAAGAGGCUGGGAGCAGGUUCCCCAUCCUGGGUCACUUUACCCCGUACCAGGCCUGCUCUUGGGGGGAAGCCUCUGCUUGGCUGGCCUGCUAAUGAUGCCUCUGCCCCAGCAGGAGCCCGUGCUCCGUGCCACUGUUCCCAAGGGGACUUCCCAAAGCCGAGGACCAAGGAUGUGGGGUGUGGGCAUGUAUAGAGUACAGGGACCCUGAACACCCAGAGUUGGGGGUGUGCAGCUUCCUGCAGCCCUGAAGGGUGCCCUGGCAGCAGAGGGGUCCUGGGUAUAGCAGACCCCUCCCCGCUAAGGUACUCUCCCCACUGCCUUCAAAGCCUGCAGGAAGUUGGGGUGGUCCCAGCUCAGGAAAUCAGCCCAGUAUGCAAGCUGACUGGAGGCUGAAGGUGGGUUCUCCUGGGGCCCCAAAUGCCAGGAAGGAAAGGGAGCAGGUACUGAAGGGCAGAAUAUGGCCUCCAGCACCCAGGCACACUGGUGAUACAGUGGUCAGACAGGCGCUGGCCAAGGAGAAAUACCCCCAGGCAACAGGUUGCGGCCUGCCCACCAGGACCUCCCCAAGGCCUGCCUUCUGGUUUUUAGGCUGACCCCCUUCCAUCCCAUGACCAACCCUCCCCACCAGCCCGGGUCCUGUCCCUUCACUGGGAGGCCUCUGCUUGCAGCUUCUCCGGGCCUGCCCUGUAACAUUCCAGAACUGAAAACUGCCCUCCAUUCCUGGAGCCCAGCCUCCUCUGGGCUUUGCAGGUGCCGUCCCAUCUGGGAAACCCCCUUCCCACUGGACCUGGCUAGCUCCUACCCAGCCCUCCACUACCAAUGGGGUGAUGGACUCUGCAGAGGCCAGACAGCCUCCAGGCAAGCAAGCGUGGAGGCCCGGGCUCCCCUAAGAGUGAACACCACACCUGGGGGUUGUGCAUUUCCUCUGACCUCACAGAACUGGGGAGGCGCGAGACAACGGUGUCGGCCCCCAGGGGUGUCCUCCAUCAGGACAGCCUCCACCCACACACAAAGCUGACCUUUGGGCUGCUGGGUAGAUGUGCACUCCGCCGGCCACAGAAGGGGCCUGAGGGAGGCUUCUCUUGGCCCUGGUGCUCCACACCGAGCAGAAAUACACAUCCUCUUCGUUAACGACCUGGAAACUAGAAAAUCACUACCUGAGUGGCUGCAGAGGUCUCAAGGCGGGGAAUUGGAAGUGGCCCCCAAGCACAGCUCCUCAGCCUCUCCACCGAGGCCUGGGGCCAAAACUGUCCAGAACGUCAUCUGAUCCCGGAAUCCUAACAAAUCCCAGCCAGGAUGAGUAAAAUGCAACACACAUUUUGUCUUUGGGAGACUGCAGAAAAGCCAGAAACUGGCAAUCACCCACAGUGGCAGGCCAGUGACAGUGAAAUGACAUCUGAGUGGCUGAGGUAAUACAGAUGCUGAGCUAGGAGGGCGCACCCAGGGAAAUGGUCUUUUAAGAGGAGUUGAAUAAGAACAUGUUUGAACACACAGAAUUGAGUGUUUGCCACCAACAGGGUGCCGCUGAAGGAAGUCCAGGGGAAGGGCUUCAGGAAGAAGGCGAAUCCAAGAAGAAAUCACGGGGAAAGAGUUUUAUCUACUGCUACUGAACGAAUGAACUUAAUGUGGUGGGGGGGAUAAAAUCGCAAAGUUUCCAGAACCCCCACCUGGCCUUAUUCACAGAUACCUCAAGGGGUGGAGAGGCUGCUCUCAAGUGCCUUUAACAGUUUUCUUAAUGUUUCUGUGAGUUAAGACUUCAGGGCAGCUGCACAUAUUUGACAAGUCAAAACUAGAGACCAAGAGAACUCUGAAAUAAAAGGGUUUUUGAUGCGAAUCAGGGAAAGACUGGGAACGCAGGUCACACAUGACAUGACGGAUGCAGUGGUUCUGGGGACCUUCUAGAUGAUCAUUGAGAUGGUGUCGUACAGGAAUGUGGAGCUUCCGGUUAGCUAUGGCCCAUGGCUAUUGACUGACAGCCUUUCCUUGUCUGUCUUGUCUGUCCCUUACAUCACUUAAUUUAGGAUGGCUCAGAAUUUUUCCUUACCAGAUGUGUGCAGGCCCUGCCUGUGCCUGGGGCGGCGCCUCGAGGGGUACUGGCAGAGCACCUGGGUGUCCUCUCCAGUGGACUGCUCAGGUGUCCUCCUGACACUGAGGCUGCCUCCCUAGAGUGGGCGACCCGAGAAAAAGGCCAUGGGGUGGCCAUGCGUCCUUCAGGCCCUGGGUCAUACCCUCACUCUGUGGUCUUCUGUUCGCUAGAAGCUGGUCUGAAGCCUGUCCUUUCUCAAGGCCGUAGGGGAGUUAGGCUCUGCUUUCCCAAAGAGCAGAGUCAAAUAUGUGGCCAUAUAUUAAAACCAACCAAAAUGUACCAUCAAACAUGUAGGGGAAUCUAAGCAAACACUGACUGUAUAUAAGGACAAUAACGUAAUAGUAAUAAUGCUAAUCUGAGCAUGGGGGGAUGGGUAGAAUGGAACUAAUGUCCCUCUGACAUGUGAGGUGGGAGGAGCUGUGGGAGCUCCGGUGUCUGGAGUGCUGGUGCGGUGGCUGUGCACCCACUGGGUCUCUGGGGCCUUAGUGCGCCAUGCAAGCCAGCAACUGCAUUCUUGGGCAUUUGUUCCAGAGAAAUGAAGACUUUUUCGUUUUCAUGCAGGAACAUGUACAUGAAUGUUUAUAGCAGCCUUAUUGGUGAUAGCCCGAAACUACCAACUCGCUGAAUGUCCUUCUAGGGCUGAUUGCUGAGCAGACUGUGAUCCAUCCACACCGCAGGAUGGAACUCAGUGGCACAAGGAGUGAACUAUCCAAACACAACCGUGUGGAUGAACUUCCAGGAAAUUACUCUGAGCCGUAAAAGCUAACCUGAAGGAUACAUUAUACACAAUCUGUUUAUGCAGCAAUUGUGAAAUAACAGUUAUGAAGAAAGAAUGUUUGGGGAUGUGGCUAGAAAAGGGAGGGGGAAGCAGUCCUACGGUGAAGGUUCAGUUGAGCUUGGUGGUGGUGAUGGUUACACAAGGUCACGUGUGUGGGAAAGCUGCAGAGAGCCACACACACAUGUGAUUAAGCUCCUGAGAUGGCAUCCGGGCCCACUUCUUGGUUUUGCUAUUGUGCUGUCAUAAGAUGUUAACACUGGGGACACCGAGGGGAGGGCACAAAAGGCAUGUGUGCACAUUUCUUUGCAACCUUGUAUGAACCUGUAGUUAUUUCCAAGUAGAAAGGUGAGGUAAAAUACAAAUAUUUUAAAAUACAAAUUUUGUAUUACACAUAUAUAAAGACUUCUCAGAACAAUAAAGAGAAAUGGGCAAACUCACCAUCACAGUGGGAAAUUUUAACAAAUUUCUUAAUGAAUAGGUUAUAAUAGAUAUAAAAAUUUAUUGAUGAUGUGAAUCUCAUGGACAUAUAUAGAUCGAUGCACUCACUAAUUGGAGAGUACACAUUCUAUUCAAGCACAUAUGGAAUAUUUCCAGCUAUUUAUGACUUACAUGGGAGGCCAAAAAGUGUCAGAAUAUUGCUGGAGAUUGGUCUCAUUCGGGGUACAUGAUCUGACCAUGCGGCAGCUAAGUUAGAGAUGAACACUAAAAAGAGAACUAGGAAAAGCCCAGAUUUUAGAUAUUAAAACAAACACGUCUGAACAACUCACAUGUCAAAUAAGAAAUCACAAUAGCAGUGGGAAAAAAACUAAAUGAAAACAAUGAGUGUGCAUUAAAAGCAGAGACAAAAGGGAACUAUACAGGCUCUUAGACACGUCAGGGAAGAUGAAAGACUCAGAGAAUGUACUGAGCCUUGAAUUUCAGAAGGAGGAAAAAGAAUACAUACAAAGAAUAUGGAGGGAAGAAAUCAUUAAAUUGUACUAAAAAUGUUUUAUUGAGUAAGUACUGCACACCUGGCACUUUUCUUCAUGCUGCAGAGCAGCCGACAGGAUAAACCCCACAAUUCCUGCUCCCAUAAAAUCAUGUUCAAGAGAGAAUAAAAACUGGAGUAGAAACCAGUGAAAUAGAAAACAAAUAUGCAGUGAAGAAAACAUCAAUAAAGGCAAAAACUUGGUUGAGAAAAUGAAGUACACAAACAUCUGACUUACUAGUGGAGAAUAAAAAGUAAGGCAGAAAUAAAUGGUGUCAGGAAUCAAAAAGAAGGAAAUAAUAUAUGCUGCAGAAGUUAAGCAGAUAUGAACAGGAUAUUUUUUAUUUUGUAUUGACUUUUUUUUUAGGUGCAUACAGCAAAAUACACAAGCCAUAGUGUGCAGCUCAAUCCUGACCAUGUGCACACUCGUGCAGCCAUCACCCACGUCAGGACAGCAAGCACUGAUUCCCCCCUCACCUAAUGUCCUCACCUGCCUCCCUGUGGUAACCAUCAGUCUGUUCCCAGUGUCUAUGAAUUUGUUUUGUUUGUUUUGUUUUUUAGAUUCCACAUAUAAGUGAAAUCAAAUGGUCUUGUCUUCCUCUGCCUGGCUUAUCUCACUUGGCAUGAUACCCUAUGGUCUAUCUGUGUCAUCACAAAUGGCAGGAUUUCAUUCUUUUGUGGCUGAGUAAUAUUCCAUUGUGUAUACGUACCACCUCUCCUUAUCCAUUCAUCUACUGAUGGGCACUCGG